rnacentral:hammerhead_ribozyme from 1 species
AUCAACCUGAAGAGUCCCCGAUGGGACGAAACGCGCGUCCUGGAU